rnacentral:rRNA from 1 species
GAUGAACGCUGGCGGCGUGCCUAAUACAUGCAAGUCGAGCGAACAGACGAGGAGCUUGCUCCUCUGACGUUAGCGGCGGACGGGUGAGUAACACGUGGAUAACCUACCUAUAAGACUGGGAUAACUUCGGGAAACCGGAGCUAAUACCGGAUAAUAUAUUGAACCGCAUGGUUCAAUAGUGAAAGACGGUUUUGCUGUCACUUAUAGAUGGAUCCGCGCCGCAUUAGCUAGUUGGUAAGGUAACGGCUUACCAAGGCAACGAUGCGUAGCCGACCUGAGAGGGUGAUAGGCCACACUGGAACUGAGACACGGUCAAGACUCCUACGGGAGGCAGCAGUAGGGAAUCUUCCGCAAUGGGCGAAAGCCUGACGGAGCAACGCCGCGUGAGUGAUGAAGGUCUUCGGAUCGUAAAACUCUGUUAUGAGGGAAGAACAAAUGUGUAAGUAACUAUGCACGUCUUGACGGUACCUAAUCAGAAAGCCACGGCUAACUACGUG